rnacentral:tRNA from 2 species
GCCGGAAUGGCCGAGUGGUUUUAGGCGGCGGACUGCAGAUCCGCUUACGCCGGUUCAAAUCCGGCUCCCGGCU